AAAAGAUUUAACUUUCAAUUUAUAUUUAUUAUUAAAGGGCCAAUUAUAAAGUAAAGACGUUUUAUUUUAAAGAAGUGAAUGGGGCCUUUAUUAUUUUGUACACCACAUUGGGAAAACUAAAAAGUGACUUUUAUUUAUCCCACAUUGACUGAUGGAAAGAGUGAAGCCCCUUGAGAUUGUUAUAAAAGCAAACUAGUGAAGCUCAUUUGGCAUGCUUGGUUGGAUUUGUAAAUUUAAGGAUUGUUUGGAAAGUUAAUCUUCAAAGGUUUAGGACGAAAUCCCUCAUGGUCAACAAUCUCUAUGCUGUUGGGAGAUACAUUGUGGAGAUUCAGGGUUGACUCGAGGAAUAGAAAGAGCUGGGUGACAGAGACACAUUUGCUAGCUGGCCAUAUCAAUCUCGAGCUGGAACGUUGAACUUCGAAGGAGCUGAAUCAUGUUUUGGGGCUGAGUCAUCUACAGAGGGCCGUACCUGCUGUAGCCUUGCUUGUGAGCUGCUGCUGUUCACUGUAGCAUCAUCCUCUUCAUACAGGCUGAGUUUAUGAUUGCUGGGAAAUCAUGUGGUGGCUGGGACUGACAAACAGCAAAUAAGUCUGCUGUUGAGGAGCUGCAAGAGUGGGAAGCUUGUUAGCUGAACACGUGCCAGGGACGUUGAGUGGUAACCAAACUUCUGUACAGGUCUCUUGACCGUCCAAACCAAAUGGUGGUACAAGCAAGGACUUUCCAACGUUUUUCCAUUGAGCUGCUGAAGCUGCAAUGAUAUGGGUUAAACUGAUGAAUAUUGUUUAAGGCUGACAGCACUAAGGUUAGGUUUAUUGUUCUGGAACAUGUUAUAAACUGAUAAUAAUAGAAAGGAUGGGUUUCAAAUUC